UAAAAUUCCAAACGGAGGUGUCUGCCAUGCAGAGUGGAAAUUUCCUGAGCCCUUGCUCUGGGGACCUGACUUUCAGUUUCUCCCAGCAGUGACUGCUCAUACCUGGUUCUCCUUCCCAGCCAGGCCAGAGGCGGCACCACCAAGCCAGGCAUGGCGAAGGGCACGGGAUCUGGGCUCAGCUCUGCUCCCCGCCUGCAGGCUGUCUUUGAGAUCCCCCGGGGUUCCUUAAGCCAGAGCUCUUGAGUCUCCA
rnacentral:lncRNA from 1 species